CAUCCACUGGCUCCUUCUUUAUCUCCUCUUUUGCGUCGAAACCCUAUCCCAAUCCUCUCCAAUCCCGCAGCCGCCGCCUCCCUUGCUCCGGCGAGCCGCCGCCGGCCUCCUCUUCGGCGAGUGUUGUCGGCUGCGUCCUCCCAAAUCUCUGCACUCAUCUCUCCCCCAAUCCCCUCCUCCAUCUCUCCCCAAAUCCCCUCCAGUUCCUCUUCGCCUCUUAUCCUCCGCUGGUCUUCUCCAUGGCUGGAGAGGCAAAGGGAACCAUGGCACCAUGGAUGAGGAGACGGAGCUCGAUGUGGAGGAGCACCCGUGAUGUCCCAGCAGCGCCCAGGGAGGUGGAGCAAUAUUUUUUACCUAGGCUUCCCAUCUCCUUCCUAAAACUUCUUCUUAUUUGCUUCCCUGUUGUAAGGUUGCAGGUGUGCUGGCAAGGUGUUUGUGUAAAUGCCUUAGGGAAAAAACUGCUAUGAAAAAGAUGCUCGAGAUGCUACUGCCCUCAUACCCAUCAACCCAUCAAGGAGAGGCUACUCGUGCUGCAACAAUUGGACACAUGACAUUGAUUCCAACCAGGAGGAUGUGUUGGCCGCUGCUGUGCACCGCCGUCACGCCGCUCGUGUCGGGGCCAGCAGCUGAAGAUCAUUCGACUAGUGCCAAGAUUGGCGUAUGAGGCACUGAUGGUGCUGGCUGGCCGCCGAAGGUAGAAGGAUAAGCGCAAAUUCGUCAACAUGGACAAUUUACUCUGGACGUUGGACAUGGAGGGUAUAGUAAAGAAGUGCAAAUUCAUCAACAUGGACAAUUUACUCUGGACACGGAUGGUACGGUAAAGGUUUGUUAGUUCAUAUUGGACAGAGGUAUAUAGUUCAAGUUUUCUACUCCGUACUUCAUAAACUAAUCAAAGGACGCAUACUUAUCUUUGAAACACAAUCUCAAUGAUUAGUGUCUUUAUGCGACCAGUGAAAUAGUAAAAGAAGAGCAGAAACCACUCUUAUUUAUGAUUUUACUGUUUUGGCUCUCUAAUGUCUUGCUUGUUUUGCAAAGUAAUAAAAUCCUCUAGUGUUCAAAAAAUUCAUUAGCUAUGGUUUUCCACACCUCGGCCUACUUCGUAUGAAUACAGAUAACUGGGAUACACACAGGUUUUGAUAUUUAGUGUCUUCGUUUUGUUGUUUGCUAAAUUUUGGGUUGUGAUUUUGUUGUUUACUAAUGAAAUAAUUAUGCUCCAGAUAAGGGUUCUUGCACAUCACUAAGCACUAUUCAGCUUGUUCUCUUAAAUAAAAUUACCUGCUUAUUUCGUGUACCUGCGUAUUUCUUGCUUAUGUAUGUGUUUAAAUUACAAUAGAUUUUGUAAUUGCUAUGUGUAGUAGUCUGUACAUUCUCUGUGUACUUGUUCACAGACUAUUUAUCGUCGAUUUGUAUUAAUAUUUAAUAUACUGUUUUACCGGUGGUUCAAUAGUGUGAAAGGAGGCGGUCGUGGUGCCUCAAGCAUGCAGAAGUAGUUGUUAAGGUUGCUGCCCAACACUUUGUUGGAGAUGAUCGCAAGUGGAGCUUCCUUGCUCAUACACAUGUGUUUCUUUUUCUUGGUUUUAUAUCUGUAACUGUGAUGUAUUUCUAGCUUGUUCCAGAUAACUUGUAAAUGUUGUGGAACAUUUCAGGGGAUGUGUGGAUGUGACAGGUCAUCCGCCUUCAGAGAGAGAGGCUACAAGAUGCCCUUACAGGAAGGGGAGGUGGAGAAUGAAGAGGAGGGUAUUAUUGCAGAUAAUCAUGGAGCCAAAUGUAACGGUGUGUCAGUCAUCUAUCCGAUGAAUGGACAUCCCCAAAAGUCCAUGAGAUUGGGUCUAAUGGUCUGGAUGGAACAGCUGGAUUUAUUUCAUAAGUUUGGAGGGAAGAGCAGUAGCUUCUUUGAAUGCAAAGAUGAUGUCAGAUGCAAUGUGGAUGACGAGGCUCUAACCUACUCCUGUUCCACCUGUGAUGGAGGUUGAGAACCCAAUUUGCAACUAUAGUCUUCUAAAGGGGUUUCUGGGCGCUUGUUUAUGUCAGCGGAGGCCGUUCACACAUACCUAUGGAAACUUAAGAAAGAAGUAAUGCAUGCCACUCUGGUAAAAGACAUCUCACCUUGAUCUCAACGGAAUGUUCUUGUGUGUGUUUCGUGGAUCUGGGAGAACAAUGACCAAGAACAGAAUGUGUAUGAAUUGGGUUACAUUUUUGUUGACCAACUGCUGCCACUACAUAAUCUUCUAGAGAGGUUUGAUCGAGGUAUAUAUCUUGGCGUUCCAGAUGAGCACGGAAGAAAUAAAAUUCUAAUGAUGCUUACACAAAACUGUAAACUGAAAGCAGAUGGCCGAUUUGACCUGCUAAAGAUGGCACGAGCUAUACCAGGAUUUGUUCGGCACCAUGCGAUGUCAUGCUCGACACCAAGAGGCUACAAAAAAGAUCAAUUAUUACUUAAUGGGUGUCAUAGAUGAAAGUCCUUUCAUCAGUUCAACUCUGCAGCCUACCAGCAGCUUGCUCUCAGGAUAAUCCCAAAAGGUGUUUCAGUAAUAGAUACCAUUUCUUCAUUAGUUCAGUAUCCGGGCCGCAUGGGCGUGAAGGCUUUUUUUCAUCGGUUCAAUAUAUAUCUUUGCCACAUGUGUAUGAAAUCGAAUAGGUUACAGUUGGCAAUGCAAGCAAUCUGAGUGAAAGAAUUCAUACCUCGAGGGUCUCAAAGGAAUUUUGUUGCGCGUGUAUCCCAGAUCUGGGAGAACAUGGAUCAAGAACAAAAUGUCUCUGAACUAGGGUUCAUUCUUGUGGAGAAACUGUCCUCGCGUUGCCGACUUGCCAUUGCCAUCCCCAGCAGCUCUGAUCACGCAUGACUGUUGGCAAUCGACGCCGUACUGGCGUUUGGCGUUUGCCGUUCCAGCCUCGCCUACAAUGACGACGACUGACGCCACAGUACCGGUGGACAUUGGGGAUGGUCCACGCCGGUGAGAUGGUCUCCCCAGGCACGGCCGCCACCCUUGCAGGACUUCGCCGGAUACAGGGCUGCGUCCGGCCUUCCUAGCGACCUCCUGGUCAGUUGUACAACCUAUGCUCCACCUGCGGAAGCAAUCACUUAAUCACUUAUGGCGAUGUGAUUAUUGCUGCCCAUGUUAGCGCCUCCGUCCACCGCACUACCCGGCAUGCUGAUGGGAUCAAGCACUCAAAUUGGUGAUGUUUUUUGCGUCAAGACAGACGGUGCUGACGAACUAUUGAAUCAUAUUGAUGUGCAUUUGAGCAUGCUCACCUGCAUAAACUAGAAUCAGAGGCAGAGUGAGAAAGGGGAUCUGGAGAAGAAAAGCAAUCUUGGCGUACGACUCUGUAUAGUGCCUGAAAGCGGUGCUGCCCGCGUGUCAGGUGCAUGUUUUGUCCUCUGCUUCUCCUUUUUUGGUAUAAUAACUUGUCAUGUCGUGUGUGCUUUAUUUUUACUAUAGGCACACGAAUGGGCAUCCGAACUUUUUUCCCGAUCAAAAUAAGCCUGAUUAUUGUA